rnacentral:misc_RNA from 1 species
AUAUAUCAACCUUCUCUUGUUGAGUUGGCUUGGAUGUGGGGGUUUGCUGGUCUCUUAACGGUUUCAGCUCCCCUGAAAUGCAUUAGCAGAACAACCUGUUCAUUGGUGUGAUAACUAUCUAUGCUAUUGAAUGUGAGGGGCAGUUCAGCUUUCUAACGGUCCUUGGACAAUUUAUCAUUA